UACAGAGGGGGCAAGCGUUAUUCGGAAUUAUUGGGCGUAGAGGGCGCGUAGGCGGCCAUUCAAGUGACGGGUGAAAGCCCUCGGCUUAACCGAGGAACUGCCUGUCAGACUGGAUGGCUUGAGACCGGGAGAGGUGAGUGGAAUUCCCAGUGUAGCGGUGAAAUGCGUAGAUAUUGGGAGGAACACCAGUGGCGAAGGCGGCUCACUGGACCGGAACUGACGCUGAGGCGCGAAAGCGUGGGGAGCAAACAGG
rnacentral:rRNA from 1 species